GGAUUGUUAUUUGUAUUCAAGUCGAAAAGUGGCAAAAGAGAGUUUUGUCGAGGUGAGAUGGACAGCAUCAGUGCCGUUUUUGGUGAGAGGUCGAGGCGAGGUGUGAGGGAUGCGGGCGAAGCAGGGAGGAGGAGGAGGAAUCCUUAACCCUACUUUGCAAUUAAGCUGUAACUCACAGUGGGCCGUGCCGAAGAAGCAAGUCAUCAUCGACACAGAUUCUUACACUGUAUUUGUGCAGGGACCGAACCAUCAACGCGAAGAAAGUAGCACAACAACAUUCUCCGGGGAGGCGAUUCUCGAGUCAAAGGAACAUGCCUACUGAUUUUGCUGUGGCAUGGAGCUCAAUUGUUGAUAAUUAUUUGAAGAUCUACAUAUCAGUGAAGCAGAUAGAGGCCAUGAUCAUGCUUACUAUUGCAACAAAACAUGCUGAAAUCCAGCAAGAGUUCCACAGCAAGGGUUUCAUUGACAUGAUCCAGAGCACGAGCAUUUGCAACAGGUCAGGGUAAAGCACUGACACUAUCAGACGGUGGUCGAGAGUUCAGGUAAAUCGGACUUUUAUUCUACCUGUAUCUCUAUGAAGAAUCAGGAAAUCCAGAUUCUAUUGCAUGCAUUCAAUGUCAAACUAUGCUUAUUGCGAUUGAAAUUAAUCUGCAGAGUGUAACAAUCACAUGUUCAAACCACACUUCCCUGAGUCUGGCAGUAUUCUGUUUUUAAUGGAAAAGCGACCCACACAAUUGAUACCUAACGUAUUCUUGUAAAGGAUAUAUUCCGAUUUUGUUGUUUCAACUUAGGCUUCAGUCUGAUUCGAGGCACAUCGCUCCUGUGAGCUCUAGUAUUUGGUUGGAUUUGACAUCUAUUCAAUUCCAUGGCCGACAACCAAACCGGUGGCAGGUGGCAUGACCCCAAGAGAUUGGUGCAGAGGACAGCAAUCAACUGUCAACAGGGGACAGUUCUUAUGGAUGGUACACUCUUGGUGAUUGAGCAUGAGUUGGUGACUUCCCCUGUAUUAUUUGAUUCCUCUGUAUUAUAAUAUAUUUUGUAAGAAAUCUAAUUUUGAGUUUUCAUUUUUUUGGAACUUAUCAAUCAUCACUCUUUUGUGAACCCAGGAAUACAAUUAUAUUCUGGAUGUUUGCUGUGUGCUCAGCUGUGCCAAAUAGAUAUCAGAUAUAAUUCCAUUUUUAAUCCUUCUUUUUCCUCAUCCUUUUUACAAAAUUCAGUGUGAAAUUAGCUUAUGUUCAUAGAUCAAGAGAAAUGCAAUCAUGGAGAAGAGAUAGAAAGAUCUCGGACACAAUUGUUUCUUUGUAGAAAAGAGUUGUGGAGGCUUUGUUGCUAUGAGAGUAUCUAAAAGUGAGCUACACCAUGCAGGGACACCAAAAUCCAAGCCUAAGGCCUUGCAGGAAAUCACUUGACAGGUCUCAUUUUGUAAGCAAUGCUGCUUUCACUGUAGUUGGAAUUAUGGCUCGUCAAAGGGUUAUCCACUCCACCUGGUACUCUACUACAUUCUCAUAUUCCACAUUAAUACUUCAUUCCCACACAAGAGCAGUUUACAUUUGCUUUCUGCUCUCCACAUGACUAGUACAUGCAUGUGAAAAAGUUUGUUGUGCAGUACCAAGCCCUACCAAGUGUACCCAAGUUUUCUGUGAUAAAUCCAAAAUGUAGAUGGCCUUGAUGCAACCAUUGUAGGGAAAUUCUAAA